rnacentral:rRNA from 1 species
AGUGGCGAACGGGUGAGUAAAGUAUCGGAACGUGCCCAGUCGUGGGGGAUAACGUAGCGAAAGUUACGCUAAUACCGCAUACGAUCUAUGGAUGAAAGCGGGGGAUCGCAAGACCUCGCGCGAUUGGAGCGGCCGAUAUCAGAUUAGGUAGUUGGUGGGGUAAAGGCUCACCAAGCCGACGAUCUGUAGCUGGUCUGAGAGGACGAACAGCCACACUGGGACUGAGACACGGCCCAGACUCCUACGGGAGGCAGCAGUGGGGAAUUUUGGACAAUGGGCGCAAGCCUGAUCCAGCCAUGCCGCGUGCAGGAUGAAGGCCUUCGGGUUGUAAACUGCUUUUGUACGGAACGAAAAGGUUUGGCCUAAUAAGCUGAGCUCAUGACGGUACCGUAAGAAUAAGCACCGGCUAACUACGUGCCAGCAGCCGCGGUAAUACGUAGGAUGCGAGCGUUAAUCGGAAUUACUGGGCGUAAAGCGUGCGCAGGCGGUUAUGUAAGACAGAUGUGAAAUCCCCGGGCUCAACCUGGGAACUGCAUUAGUGACUGCAUAGCUGGAGUACGGAGAAAGGGGAUGGAAUUCCGCGUGUAGCAGUGAAAUGCGUAGAUUAUGCGGAGAACACGAAUGGCGAAGCAUCCCCUGGGCCUGUACUGACGCUCAUGCACGAAAGCGUGGG